rnacentral:ncRNA from 1 species
UUGUACUAGGAUCAGUUACGAAAGUAAGGCCUAACGAUCCCUAAAUAGCCUCAGGUGCGUGAGGAUUGGGGUGACAGACAAGUUACCUCCGGGACAACUGGCUUGUGGCUGCUAAGAGAUCAAAUCAACGCAGCUUUUUGAUUCUUCGAUGUCGGCUCUUCCUAUCCUAGUGAUGUACAAGUUGCUAAGGGUCGGAUUGUUCACCCGUAUUAGGGAUCGUGAGCUGGGUUUAGACCGUCGUGAGCCAGGUUUGUUUUAUCCUACUGGAUAUAGCAUCAUGAUAGUAGAUUGAUUUAGUACGAGAGGAACUGUUGAUUAUGGCCUCUGGUUAGCGAUUAUCGGAAACGGUAUGUCGCGCAGCUACGCCGUCUGGGAUAAUGGCUGAAAGCCUCUUAAGCCAGAAGCCCAUCUAGAAAGUGAUGCACGUGAUGUUGGACCGAUACGAAUAAUCAUACUCAAAAGGUCCGCUUCAUAGGUAACCCAAUGUAGAAGACAUUGUGUGAACGAAGGUACUGUAAGCAGUGGAGUGGCAUUACGUCCACGACCUGUUGAGGUUCAGCUUCGCUUCUAGGUUUCC